CUCUUUAUGGAGGUUCCUCCUUGGUGAAGCUUUCCACUGUGGACCUGGAAUCUUCUGCUAUGGGAAGAAACACUACUGGUCUUUCUUCUGGAGCCUCAGAGGACUUUGGCUUUUCGUAUCAAUGAGCUGUGAGAAAGCGAAAAAGCUGGUGUUAUCUUGAAGAAAGGAAGGGAGCAACCUAGAAAACCAG